GCGGUCGGUCGGCUGACGCGCCUGCGGGGCAGGCCUCGGGGGCCCGGGGUGCGGCCGAGGUCGCCCGCUAGGGGGCCGGGAGCUGCCUGCGCGGCCGUGGCGCCCCAGCGCGCCCCUGCAGCGCGGCCCUGGCGGGCCGGAGGCCGGCGGCCGUGACAGGAAGCAGGGACCCUGCCAGGCUGCCGCCGCUGCAGCCGGGAGCUGCGAUGCCCGAGGCAGACCGGCCCCGAUCGGCCUGGCAGCGGGGGGGCCUCCCGGGCGCGCACCUGGAAGUCUGGGUCCUGGGAAGCGAUGACUGCGCGAAGUGACCGACCGCCCCGAGGCCAGCGGGGUGACGGGCAGGGCGUUCCAAGAAGCAGGCGCACCUGGGAAUGCGCGGCACGGAGGCGGCAGCCAGGCCUGGGUGCGGGAGCGCGGGGCGAGGCCCCGGAGUGAAGCAAUGAGCAUCCACCGCUCAGCAGGGAAGAGAAGCCCGUUUGCAGGAGGCUGCGGCCGACUUUCCGCCCCUGAGCUGAGCUGAGCACUUGGCUUCCAGCGUGAGUCACGGGUCGGACUUUGGACAAGACGAGACCGGCACCUGCAAACCAGAGACCAGGUGUUGUUUGAGCGGACCGGAUCACGGACCAAAGUCGAAGGGAGACUAGUGAGUCUUGAUUGUGACAGUGGGCGGAGGCCGUCCCAUCCGGCGCCGUCGGAGUGUGACAGGGACAGCGAGUGCCACCUGUCUCUCACAAGUCUGGGGCCAGUGAAAAGGCGAGAAUAUCGACGUUAUUACACACAAGGCUCCACUGAAGAAUGUGACUGGGAUGACAACCAAGAGUCUUUUUAAUAUCCCCUGAGUUAAAGUGAGCUCCCC